GCCUUGCAAAGUCGACAUAUGCUAAUAAAAAUUUUAAGGGGUAAGGCGCCAAAGUGAGCCUUUGAAGAUCUGCCAUCUCCCACCAGAAAGCUGCGGCUGACAAAGCCCUGUUUACAGGCAGCCGGCACAGCCUCCCAGAACGUGGCACCCGCGGGCAGAAUGUAUUAUUUACACCUGAAACUGAGACUCACUAGUGACUGAGCCCAUGGCCUCUUGUUACCUCUAAGUGCAAGCCUUCCACGUGUUAGCGAUGGCCAGCAGCCAUUUGGGAGGAAGAGGAAGGAGUGGAAAGCAGGGCCCAGCCCUCUGGGUCCUCUCCUCACACUCUGCCACACUAGUGUCCUUGGAGUGACUGUGCGCACCGCAAAUAAAUUUUAAAAAAAUGCAACUUGGUGAACCUGAAUAACACCGUGACGGGAGAAACGUUUUCUGUGGUUCGUCUUGACGACCCACAGGUCCAGUUUCCAUCGCAGACUCUCUCGGAGCCUUGACCGUGAAUCGAGGAUACUAAGGAACAGCUUGAGGGGUGUGACCUUCUCCACUGUCAUGGGACGCUGAAACCCAUUUUUCGAAGAGUGUGUUGUAUAGACAUGUUGAAGAUCCCUGUCUGGGUAAAAGUUGUUCUAAAAGGAAACCUAGAGAAUGACCGCAUAAACGUGUGUGGUGCCUAUUCCUGCAAUUACCUGGGACUCCUCUUUUGGCAGUUUGACCCUCUGUGGGUGAGAGGCACCGGGCUGUGGCCCAGGCAGGCUGAGAAGGGACAGUCUGCAUACAGUUGGCUUUUCUACAUUUAUGGAACUGGACCACACUGCCCCCAAGUCUAGGGGACAGAGAGCAACUACUGUACUUAGAAAUAGAUGUGCUUUCGGGAGACAGUAAUUGUAUUACAUUCCGCUGGGCCUAGACCGCUGCUCUCCAAGACAAGACAGCAUGCCAUACCCUCAGGCAGCCCAGGAAUGGUGGCUUUGGAACCUAACCAGCAAGCUGUAAGAGACACCGUGCCGUGUGACCCCAGUGGUGAGUUGCAAAGAGACAAGACCAGACCCUGAUUCUGGUUUACACGCCGGCCCCAGCUGACAAGGCUCGGGUGGGAAGACGCAGAGCCAGUCACUCAGGUCCUGCCAUAGAUGACAAUGUGUGCUCAGCCCUCUCAAGACACACACCUUCUGCUGGUGGCAUCUCCUUGGAGCCUGGGCAGGCUAAGGACGCCACACAGAGUGGCUGGGCAUCCACGUAGAGAGCCUUUGACCCACGCGAAGUCAACACUGGACAGACAGAUGACAUGGAGAGGCUGGGAAGCAGAGGACACAGAUGCACCAAGGUCCUUCCUGCAAGCUGUACCCAGUCGUCUAGACUGGCCUUUCUAGGGACGCGGGACCAUCAUCCUUGUGACAACUGGGCUAGGGACCUCGUGUCCUCCUCAUCCUGCACAAACUCUAGCCAUUCCUUCCCAAACGUCUCUGUUCUAAGAGCAACCGAGAAGUCUCUCCCCGGUUAGGGGGCUCUCUCUGCAGCAUCCUCCAGGCGGACCUCCCUCAUGAGCUCCCCUGUUAGCACCAUCCUCAUGAAGUCAAGCCCUUUACACAGAAACCAUGAUUGCCCUAGCCAGAAAUGCACGCACAUAAGAGGUCACAAUCUGUCCCCAACCACAUUUCUGAUCCGCCACUCUUCAGUCUCUGUGGCCAGUGAUGACACCAUCUACCAUCGCAUAAAACCCUGGCAUUAUUUGUCCCUGACUUACUCACCCCUGUAUUACUAGGAAACCCCUCAUUGUUUACCAAAAAAACCCACAUCACGAGCUAACCUUAUCUGCCCUGACUCCGUGACUUUGUCCUUGGGGCCUAUUUGUUCCUGGCCCUGCAUGGCACCCUUUAGGGCUGCUCAGAUCACAUGCCCAUACCCUGCUCAGGGACAGGGACCCCACACAGCUGAAGUCCCCCAACUUGUAUGAUGUUAAACAGUGAGGAGGAGCAUGCUAAGUGUUGUGGUUUAAAUAACAAUGCCUCCCCAUAGGCUCCUCUACUUGAUUGACUGGUCAUUAGGGAGUGAAACUGCUUGACGUUUGUGUGUGUGUGUGCGUGUGUGUGUGUGUGUGUGUGUGUGUGUGUGUCUGUCUGUCUGUGUCUGUGUCUGUGUCUGUGUCUCCUUGCUGCCUGCAGAUCCAGACAUAGAACUCUCAGCUAUUUCCCCGCCCUACCCACCUGCAUGUAGCCGCGCUGCCUCCCCCACCUCCUCCACCACGAAACCUC